UACGUAGGGUGCGAGCGUUGUCCGGAAUUAUUGGGCGUAAAGAGCUUGUAGGCGGUCUGUCGCGUCUGCUGUGAAAAUCCGGGGCUCAACCCCGGACUUGCAGUGGGUACGGGCAGACUAGAGUGUGGUAGGGGAGACUGGAAUUCCUGGUGUAGCGGUGGAAUGCGCAGAUAUCAGGAGGAACACCUAUGGCGAAGGCAGCUCUCUGGUACGUGACUGACGCUGAGACGCGAAAGCGUGGGGAGCGAACAGG
rnacentral:rRNA from 1 species